CAGUCGCCACGGUAACACGAGGGGGGCAAGCGUUGUUCGGAAUUAUUGGGCGUAAAGGGCGCGUAGGCGGUUUGGCAAGUUUGGUGUGAAAUCUUCGGGCUCAACUCGAAGUCUGCACCGAAAACUGCCGGGCUUGAGUAUGGGAGAGGUGAGUGGAAUUUCCGGUGUAGCGGUGAAAUGCGUAGAUAUCGGAAGGAACACCUGUGGCGAAAGCGGCUCACUGGACCAUUACUGACGCUGAGGCGCGAAAGCUAGGGGAGCAAACAGGAUUAGAUACCCGAGUAGUCCCUGUCUCUUAUAA
rnacentral:rRNA from 1 species